UUCCCAGACUCCUACGGGAGGCAGCAGUGAGGAAUAUUGGUCAAUGGGCGGAAGCCUGAACCAGCCAAGUCGCGUGAGGGAAUAAGGCCCUACGGGUCGUAAACCUCUUUUGCCGGGGAGCAAGGGCGGGGACGUGUCCCGGCCCGGAGAGUACCCGGAGAAAAAGCAUCGGCUAACUCCGUGCCAGCAGCCGCGGUAAUACGUAGGUGGCAAGCGUUAUCCGGAAUUAUUGGGCGUAAAGAGCGCGCAGGUGGUUAAUUAAGUCUGAUGUGAAAGCCCACGGCUUAACCGUGGAGGGUCAUUGGAAACUGGUUGACUUGAGUGCAGAAGAGGGAAGUGGAAUUCCAUGUGUAGCGGUGAAAUGCGUAGAGAUAUGGAGGAACACCAGUGGCGAAGGCGGCUUCCUGGUCUGCAACUGACACUGAGGCGCGAAAGCGUGGGGAGCAAACAGGAUUAGAUACCCGCGUAUG
rnacentral:rRNA from 1 species